GGUGCUUAAAUAGGGAGGUUUUUGAACUCUGCUCUCAUUCCACUUUUGGAUCUCUGUGUAUGAGGACACACAAGGAGAGCUGCUGGGAAAUAAAAGAAGCUUAAUAUUAUUUAUCCCAUUGCCGGAUCCUCAUAUAUAUUUUUUGGACAUAUGAAAGUAUUGUAGGUAAAUUAAAUAAAAAUUUGGACAAAUUAAUUACAAGCCUUUGGAAGAUUAAUAUUAACCAUCAGUAAAAUAUGGAUUAUAAUUUUGUGAAAAUACAGCUGUUUCAAAUUAAUUAAUUACCUUUUCAUAAAAAACACUCCUGAAGAAGUCGACAUACGACGAAACGCGUUGAGUGAAAAAAUCUUUUAUUGUUUGGAAAAGUUGUUAUUCAAUUUUUUGGCUGUAAUGAACAAUAACACAUUGUAAAAGUGUACAUCAUUUUUUAUCAGUAUUGAAAUUUAAUUAUUUUAGCAAUAGAUGUUUUAAAGUUUAAAGGGUGUUUGUGUGAUGUCAUCCUCUUUUUGUCA